rnacentral:ribozyme from 12 species
AAUAACGAAAAUGUGCAAAAGCUUUAUUUGCAUUUGCCAUUUUAUGUGUUUCUUCUUUUUUUUUUUUUUUUUUCUCUUUUUUUUUUUUUUUUUUUCACCCGGCAUGUACCAAAAGCAAAAAACAAACGGGGGAAAGAGUUUAGG